rnacentral:rRNA from 1 species
UACGAAGGGAGCUAGCGUUGUUCGGAAUCACUGGGCGUAAAGCGCACGUAGGCGGACCUGUCAGUCAGGGGUGAAAUCCCGGGGCUCAACCUCGGAACUGCCUCUGAUACAGCAAGUCUCGAGUCCGGAAGAGGUGGGUGGAAUUCCUAGUGUAGAGGUGAAAUUCGUAGAUAUUAGGAAGAACACCGGUGGCGAAGGCGGCCCACUGGUCCGGUACUGACGCUGAGGUGCGAAAGCGUGGGGAGCAAACAGG